UGGCAUUUGAGAGGAGAGGCUAUAAAACGCAUCCUUCCCCCUUACACCAUCAAUGCUAAAGGAGUUCGAUUAAAUAAAAAGUUUUGAUGAGCUCAUAAAAUUGAAUGAGAGUUCAAAUGAGGACUCCUUAUUCACUGAAACGCGCAAGAAAUUUCAAAGUGUUGAUGGCAAAGAUACCUCAGAUACUACGAGGAGAAUUUUGAAUAGGCUGAUGACGAAAAAAUUGGCAGUUAUUACCAAUUGGACGGCCAGGAAUAACAAAAAAUGGCUUUAAAGACAUGAAAAAUGUUAUCGAAUUAAUUCAUGUGUCUGUAAGAAAGAAUCCACUUCUCCAAUCACCAACUCUUGAUUAAGUGGAAAAUGUAAUGAAAAGUUGGCUGCGUUCGGCAAGUGACAGAGGAGGGGAGCGAGCCAGAAGAUAUACAAAAAAAUAAUGCAUUUCAACAAAUACUUUUAUGAAUUAUGUAUCUCUAUU